GGCUUUUUGCUUUCAUAGAGGGGUUUGGAAAACUGGAGGUUUGGGAAGCUGAGUUUGGGGUGUGCAUCCAGCUGCUGCUGCUUCCUGAGCCCAGCACAAGCUGUGUCUACAACUGUGGAGGUAAAUCCAGGGCCUGCAUUCGACUGGUGAGCACCAACUGAGUAUCCAUCACCUCCCAGAAGUAUUAGUAGGAGGGAAAAGCAGAGUCCUCUGUUAAGCAACCUCAACAGCAAUGCCAAACCAACGGUUUGCCUUCCACUCCGAAUUCCUCCCUGCAACUCUCCUGGCACAACCAUGGCAAGUGACCCUGGCAAGCGAUGGGCACAGGAUUGGUGGGUUACCUGGCACCAGCACCCCUUCUUCCGCUAGCUGCAUCCACCACUGCCCUUUGCAACACAGAGCCCGGACACCCGGGAAACAUCUGGAAAAGAGCUGGCUCCUUUCUGCUUUCCCUGUGCUGCUGGUUGGGCACUGUUGUGUGGAGACUGUGCAGAGGAGCCGCCUGCAGUGACUGGAGCCAUCUGUGCAACAGUUAUAAACAGCUAAUUAUACUGUCAAAUAGUACUUUCACAUUUAAGUAAUUAUUGUAAUUGCUGGUGGGAUAUCAUAGUCACACUGAAGAGAAGAGGUGAUCUGUGAGAUGCUGUCUAUUAAGACACAGGAUGACAACAUGGAGAGCUGCCCAUCACUGGAGAUAUUGCAACUUUGGAAGAUGUGCCCAACUACGCUCAUUGCCAGUUUGUAAUCACGAAGCUUUUCUUCAAGCUUUUAUAAUGCAACAUAAAGCAUAAAACCUGGAUGUGCCCCUUCUGCCUGGCCUGUAAGAGGUAACCUUGCGGUCCCUGCAAGAACACUGACCUGCCAUCUUCCAUGAAAGCGCAUCACUGCAUUU